UGGAGUGAUGAUUCAUAGACUAGAGUCUCUGAAAAGCCUGAUGUUGUUUUUCACAGUGCACUGACCA